AGAGUUUGAUCCUGGCUCAGAUUGAACGCUGGCGGCAUGCCUUACACAUGCAAGUCGAACGGUAACAGGUCUUCGGAUGCUGACGAGUGGCGAACGGGUGAGUAAUACAUCGGAACGUGCCCAGUAAUGGGGGAUAGCUCGGCGAAAGCCGGAUUAAUACCGCAUACGCCCUGAGGGGGAAAGUGGGGGAUCGCAAGACCUCACGUUAUUGGAGCGGCCGAUGGCUGAUUAGCUAGUUGGUAGGGUAAAGGCCUACCAAGGCGACGAUCAGUAGCUGGUCUGAGAGGACGAUCAGCCACACUGGGACUGAGACACGGCCCAGACUCCUACGGGAGGCAGCAGUGGGGAAUUUUGGACAAUGGGGGAAACCCUGAUCCAGCAAUGCCGCGUGUGCGAAGAAGGCCUUCGGGUUGUAAAGCACUUUUGUCAGGGAAGAAAUCCUUUGGGCUAAUACCCUAGGGGGAUGACGGUACCUGAAGAAUAAGCACCGGCUAACUACGUGCCAGCAGCCGCGGUAAUACGUAGGGUGCAAGCGUUAAUCGGAAUUACUGGGCGUAAAGCGUGCGCAGGCGGUUGUGUAAGACAGGUGUGAAAUCCCCGGGCUUAACCUGGGAAAUUGCAUUUGUGACUGCACGACUAGAGUGUGUCAGAGGGGGGUGGAAAUUCCACGUGUAGCAGUGAAAUGCGUAGAUAUGUGGAGGAACACCAAUGGCGAAGGCAGCCCCUGGGAUAAACACUGACGCUCAUGCACGAAAGCGCGGGGGAGCAAACAGGAUUAGAUACCUGGUAGUCCACGCCCUAAACGAUGUUCAACUAGUUGUUGGGGAUUU
rnacentral:rRNA from 1 species